ensembl:snRNA
ACUUAGUUUGAAAGGAGCAAUUGGUGUUCCUAUUAACAAGGAUGGAAAAGAUCCAAGUGUCUUUUAUAACAUAUACAUGGUCAGGUAUUAUCACUUAUUCUGUGGUAUCUAACCAUGUGAUGCUCU